rnacentral:rRNA from 1 species
AACUAACGCUGGCGGCGUGCCCAACACAUGCAAGUCGUACGAGAAAGUCGGCUUCGGCUGAUGAGUAAAGUGGCGCACGGGUGAGUAACGCGUGGAUAAUCUGCCCUUGAGUGUGGAAUAACGUACCGAAAGGCGCGCUAAUACCGCAUAAUGCCUGGCAACACAAGUUGUCCGGCCAAAGAAGGCCUCUGUUUACAAGCUUUUGCUCAAGGAUGAGUCCGCGUACCAUUAGCUAGUUGGUGGGGUAACGGCCCACCAAGGCGACGAUCGGUAGCCGACCUGAGAGGGUGAUCGGCCACACUGGAACUGAGAGACGGUCCAGACUCCUACGGGAGGCAGCAGUGGGGAAUAUUGGGCAAUGGGGGAAACCCUGACCCAGCAACGCCGCGUGAGGGAAGAAGGUUUUCGGAUUGUAAACCUCUGUCCUUGGUGAAGAAAAAAAUAGACGGUAGCCAAGGAGGAAGCCCCGGCUAACUCCGUG